AACGAACGCUGGCGGCAUGCCUAACACAUGCAAGUCGAACGAGACCUUCGGGUCUAGUGGCGCACGGGUGCGUAACGCGUGGGAACCUGCCCUUAGGUUCGGAAUAACUCCCCGAAAGGGGUGCUAAUACCGGAUAAUGUCUUCGGACCAAAGAUUUAUCGCCUUUGGAUGGGCCCGCGUUGGAUUAGCUAGUUGGUAGGGUAAAAGCCUACCAAGGCGACGAUCCAUAGCUGGUCUGAGAGGAUGAUCAGCCACACUGGGACUGAGACACGGCCCAGACUCAUACGGGAGGGGGGGGGGGGGAAUAGGGGAAAAGGGGGGAAGGCCUGACCAGGCAAGGCGGGGGGAGGAAUGAGGCCUUGGGGGUAGAAAAGCUUUUUUACCGGGGAGGAUAAGGACGGUACCGGAAAAAAAAGCCCCGGCUAACCCCGUG
rnacentral:rRNA from 1 species